UACGUAGGGUGCGAGCGUUGUCCGGAAUUAUUGGGCGUAAAGAGCUCGUAGGCGGUUCGUCGCGUCGGCUGUGAAAACCCGAGGCUCAACCUCGGGCCUGCAGUCGAUACGGGCGGACUGGAGUUCGGCAGGGGAGACUGGAAUUCCUGGUGUAGCGGUGAAAUGCGCAGAUAUCAGGAGGAACACCGGUGGCGAAGGCGGGUCUCUGGGCCGAUGACUGACGCUGAGGAGCGAAAGCGUGGGGAGCGAACAGG
rnacentral:rRNA from 1 species